CCUACGGGGGGCUGCAGUAAGGAAUAUUGGUCAAUGGAGGAAACUCUGAACCAGCCAUCCCGCGUGUAGGAAGAAGGCCCUCUGGGUUGUAAACUACUUUUAUCUGGGAAGAAAAGCCUGUAUUUAUGCGGGUCUGACGGUACCAGAGGAAUAAGCACCGGCUAACUCCGUGCCAGCAGCCGCGGUAAUACGGAGGGUGCAAGCGUUAUCCGGAAUUACUGGGUUUAAAGGGUGCGUAGGCGGCGCUGUAAGUCAGGGGUGAAAGGUUCCGGCUCAACCGGAGAAUUGCCUUUGAUACUGCAGUGCUAGGAUUGGGUUGAGGUUGGCGGAAUGUGACAUGUAGCGGUGAAAUGCAUAGAUAUGUCAUAGAACACCGAUUGCGAAGGCAGCCAACUGGACCUUGAUUGACGCUGAGGCACGAAAGCGUGGGGAGCAAACAGGAUUAGAUACCCCGGUAGUC
rnacentral:rRNA from 1 species